UUGGCUCAGGAUGAACGCUGGCGGCGUGCCUAACACAUGCAAGUCGGACGGUGCUGCUGCAGAGGAAGCUUCGGCAGAAUCAGCAGCAGCAUAGUGGCGGACGGGUGAGUAACGCGUGGGGAACCUGCCUCAGACCGGGGGAUAGCAGCUGGAAACGGCUGGUAAUACCGCAUAAGCGCACAGCUCCGCAUGGAGCGGUGUGAAAAACUCCGGUGGUCUGAGAUGGACUCGCGUCCGAUUAGAUAGUUGGUGAGGUAACGGCCCACCAAGUCGACGAUCGGUAGCCGGACUGAGAGGUUGAACGGCCACAUUGGGACUGAGACACGGCCCAGACUCCUACGGGAGGCAGCAGUGGGGAAUA
rnacentral:rRNA from 1 species